AGUGAACGCUGGCGGUAGGCCUAACACAUGCAAGUCGAACGGCAGCACAGUAAGAGCUUGCUCUUACGGGUGGCGAGUGGCGGACGGGUGAGGAAUACAUCGGAAUCUACUUUUUCGUGGGGGAUAACGUAGGGAAACUUACGCUAAUACCGCAUACGACCUACGGGUGAAAGCAGGGGAUCUUCGGACCUUGCGCGACUGAAUGAGCCGAUGUCGGAUUAGCUAGUUGGCGGGGUAAAGGCCCACCAAGGCGACGAUCCGUAGCUGGUCUGAGAGGAUGAUCAGCCACACUGGAACUGAGACACGGUCCAGACUCCUACGGGAGGCAGCAGUGGGGAAUAUUGGACAAUGGGCGCAAGCCUGAUCCAGCCAUACCGCGUGGGCGAAGAAGGCCUUCGGGUUGUAAAGCCCUUUUGUUGGGAAAGAAAAGCAGCAGGUUAAUACCCCGCUGUUCUGACGGUACCCAAAGAAUAAGCACCGGCUAACUUCGUG
rnacentral:rRNA from 1 species